AUAAAAAAUUUUCCAUUUGCUGCAUCAUAUCCUAUAACUUUUUAUAAGUUUCCCUUCUAUGAGAUUGCAUAUAUAUCUCAAAUAUUGGCAACAAGUAUUUGUUGUCUGAUGAUGCUUGCAAUUGAUAGCUUAAUUGCAACUGCUCUACUUCAUACUUGUGGACAUUUUAUAGUGCUUAAAGAAAAUUUAAAGAAUCUGGAUACAUACAUAUAUAAUUUAACUAGUUUGAAGACUAAUU